AACUGCAUCUUUCCCGGAGGGCAGCGCCGGCUAGCCACGGAGUCCCAGGGCGGAGUACCCCCUAUGCCCUGCAGUCCGAACAAUCGAUUCCGACUCAUCGGACGUCUCACGUCGAUUUACCAUCUCUAGCACAAAUCAAAACAAACAAAACUAUGUUUACAUUAAGCAACUGAGACAAUUCGACGAAAUUGGUGGCUUCGAUGUCCUUGCCACGACGCACCCACCCAACCUUGGGUGCCCCAAGAGAGAUGUGGGAGGCACACCCCAUCUCCGGCAGACCGGAGUCUAUUCCUGGUGGAUUAGGAUCGGCUCAUCUCCCCGCCCAAGAAACUUUAAGGCCGAUCUCAGACCGUCGCCCAGAUGAGAAGCGGUCAAAGCGGAAACAACUACAAGGGAAAUUUUUAGACGCUUAGAGUACAAAGUGUCCGGCAAACUCGCCACACGGCACUAAAUUGGUGGCGUUUGCCAACCGGGUCGCCUAAUCCUGAGGAGCUCCAAGGGAAAAGAAGGGACGUGCUGACAAGGUAAGUACGCUAAACAAAUCCCACAAGUUAUUAAAUUUCGCGACCCAAUUUAGAUAUAGUUGGACGCGGGCUAGGGUUCGGGCUUGAGCCUCAAAAUUUAGAUUAGAUUUCACAAGUUCAACGUCGUAUGUGUUGAAGCUGCAGCAGGGAAAACGCUGAUGGCGAAAACCCAGCGCGAGUCCGCACGGAGCCAGUUGGUCCGGAGGACAGCGUAGCGUGGCCGGAAGCAGGGCGUCGGUGGACUCGGAGAUGACCACGUGGCCAGCGCGGGCAUACGUUCCCGGAACGGACUCACCGAGGGAAUCUCCGUAUCUGGCCGUCUUGGCGGCAGUCGCUGUAGCUGCUGCCGCUUGAGGCUGCUGCUGCUGCUACUGAUCGCUGCUGCUGCGGCCAAUGCUGCUGCGGCUGAU